rnacentral:rRNA from 1 species
GCAAGUCGAACGGUAGAGGGGGCAACCCCUUGAGAGUGGCGAACGGGUGAGUAAUAUAUCGGAACGUGCCCAGUCGUGGGGGAUAACGUAGCGAAAGUUACGCUAAUACCGCAUACGAUCUAAGGAUGAAAGCGGGGGACUCGCAAGAGCCUCGCGCGAUUGGAGCGGCCGAUAUCAGAUUAGGUAGUUGGUGGGGUAAAGGCUCACCAAGCCAACGAUCUGUAGCUGGUCUGAGAGGACGACCAGCCACACUGGAACUGAGACACGGUCCAGACUCCUACGGGAGGCAGCAGUGGGGAAUUUUGGACAAUGGACGAAAGUCUGAUCCAGCCAUUCCGCGUGCAGGAUGAAGGCCCUCGGGUUGUAAACUGCUUUUGUACGGAACGAAAAGGUUUCUAUUAAUACUAGGAGCUCAUGACGGUACCGUAAGAAUAAGCACCGGCUAACUACGUGCCAGCAGCCGCGGUAAUACGUAGGGUGCAAGCGUUAAUCGGAAUUACUGGGCGUAAAGCGUGCGCAGGCGGUUAUGUAAGACAGAGGUGAAAUCCCCGGGCUCAACCUGGGAACUGCCUUUGUGACUGCAUAGCUAGAGUACGGUAGAGGGGGAUGGAAUUCCGCGUGUAGCAGUGAAAUGCGUAGAUAUGCGGAGGAACACCGAUGGCGAAGGCAAUCCCCUGGACCUGUACUGACGCUCAUGCACGAAAGCGUGGGGAGCAAACAGGAUUAGAUACCCUGGUAGUCCACGCCCUAAACGAUGUCAACUGGUUGUUGGGUCUUCACUGACUCAGUAACGAAGCUAACGCGUGAAGUUGACCGCCUGGGGAGUACGGCCGCAAGGUUGAGACUCACAGGAAUUGACGGGGACCCGCACAAGCGGUGGAUGAUGUGGUUUAAUUCGAUGCUACGCGAAAAACCU